rnacentral:lncRNA from 1 species
UUUAACAUAAGACACAUAUACUAUUUUCAUGAGAAAUAUAUAUCAUUUAGAUGAGAAAAAUCACAUAAAUGUAGACUUUCUGGAAAUAAAAAUGGUUUUUAAGAUUGAACCAACCAAAUGUGAAAGUUGCAAGUCUACAUUUAACAUAAGACACAACUACUAUUUUCAAGAGAAAUGUCUACCUUUUAGAUGAGCAAAAUCACAAAAAAGUAGACUUUCUGGAAAUCAAAAUUGUUCUUGAGAUUGACUCAAUAAAUGAAGGUGAAAGUUGCAAAGUUUACAUUUAACAUAAGACAGAACUACUAUUUUCAUGAGAAAUGUCUACUAUUUAAAUAAGCAAAAUUAUAAAAAAGUAGACUUUCUGGAAAUCAAAAUGGUUCUUGAUAUUCCAUUAAAGGCAAAAGUUGUAAAGUCUACAUUUAACAUAAGACACAUCUACUAUUUUCAUUAGAAAUGUCUACCAUUUAGAUGAGCUAAAUCACAGAAAAGUAGACUUUCUAGAAAUCAAAAUGGUUCUUGAGAUUGAACCCAUUAAAGGCAAAAGUUGCAAAGUCUACAUUUAACAUAAGACACAUCUACUAUUUUCAUUAGAAAUGUCUACCAUUUAGAUAAGUAAAAUCACAGAAAAGUACACUUUCUGGAAAUAUAAAUAGUUCUUGAGAUUGAACCAACCAAAGGUAAAAGUUGCAAAGUCUACAUUUAACAUAAGACACAGCUACUUUUUUAUGAGAAAUGUCUACCAUUUGGAUGAGCAAAAUCAUAUAAAAGUAGACUUUCUGGAAAUUCGUUCUUGAGAUUGUUCUUCAAAGUUGGAUCAAGUACUCUAAGAUGCAAAGUCUACUAUUAACAUAAGUUAGGUCUACUAAUAACUUGAGCUAAUUGACAUGCAAAAGUAGACUUUCUGAAAGUUACUAUUUAUGGAAAUCAACUAUAAAAGGAAGGAUAAGUUUCCAUUUCGGGGGGUAGUUAUGCUCUAAAAACGAAAGUUAUUAUUUAUAGAAAUCAACUAUAAAAGAAAGGGUAAGUUUCAAUUUUGGGGGGAUAGUUAUGCUCUAAAAACGAAAGUUACUAUUUAUGGAAAUCAACUAUAAAAGGAAGGGUAAGUUUCCAUUUUAGGGAGAUAGUUAUGCUCUAAAAAUGAAAGUUACUAUUUAUGGAAAUCUACUAUAAAAGGAAUGGUAAGUUUCCAUUUUGGGAGGAUUCCUUUUCUGAAAAUUCAACACUAAUUGCCACAUGUCACGACCUUAUUCGUUCUAAGUCACUAAUUUGUCUAUGUCAUUAAAGUUUUACUUUUCUUCCCACCGUUUCAAAACUUUAAAAAUGCAUAGAAAAUAGCUCCGGUGUCGGAAAAAUUCACCGAAAAAUGUCACGGACCACUGGCGAGACCCACUUCACAAUUGCGUCUGAAUUUUAGUCAUCGGAAUCACAACGUGCCUACUAAUGUGGUAUAACUUGUUUGGUUGGUUAUAUGCUAGUGUACAACUUUGUGAACCAACUAUAUAGAGGAAGCAAAAUUUUUAAAAAUCUCGUGAAAUAGGAUGUGAUCGGUAUAGUAAAAUACGGUUAGGGUAGAAAAAUCACUUUAAUUCGCCAAUGUUUGGGCCCCGAUCAAAGCGGUUAACUCUAUUUACGCUUAUGCUUAACUAAGGAGAUCCCUAUCCUCGGGUGGUAAACGUCCCCAAAGUUUUACAUGGGUGGUUAUGUCUCAUUUUUGUGAGAUUUUAUUGUGUUGAAGAAUCCACCAAACUGGGUCACGAAGAGGUAGGUAAGAUAGUUUUCGUGUGAUAAGUAAAGAUGAAUUAGGGUUGACCUCUUUGAUCGAGCCCCAAACAUAGUUGAAUCUAGUUGAAUUUUAUACCAUAGCCAUGUUUCACUAUAAUGAUCACAUCAGACGGUCAAUUUUCAUUUUUUGAAUAUUAGUCAUUGGAAUCAUAACGUGUCUACUAAUGUGGUAUAACUUGUUUGGUAGGUUAUACGCUAAUGUACAACUUUGUGAACCAACUAUAUAGAGAAAGCAAAAUUUUCAAAAAUCUCGUGAAAUAAGGUGUGAUUGGUAUAGUAAAAUACGGCUACAGUAGAAAAAUCACUUUAAUUCGCUAAUGUUUAGGCCCCAAUCGAAACGGUCAACUCUAUUUACGCUUAUGCUUCAAUAAGGAGAGCCCUAUCCUCGGGUGAUAAACGUACCCAAAGUUUUACAUGGGUGGUUAUGUCUCAUCUAUGUGAGACUUUAUUAUGUUGAAGAAUCGACCAAACUAGGAAACGAAGAGGUAGGUAAGAUAGUUUUCGUGUGAUAAGUGAAGACGAAUUAAGGUUGACCGUUUUGAUCGAGCCCCGAACAUUGUUGAAUCCAGUUGAAUUUUAUACCAUAGCCAUGUUUCACAAUAAUGAUUACAUCAGACGGUCAAUUUUCAUUUUGUGAAUUUUCAUUGAUUCAAUCUCAAGAACAAUUUUGAUUUCCAGAAAAUCUAUUUUUUUGUGAUUUUGCUCAUCCAAAUGGUAGACAUUUCUCAUGAAAAGAGUAGUUGUGUCUUAUGUUAAAUGUAGACUUUGCAACUUUCACCUUCAUUUAUUGAUUUAAUCUCAAGAACAAUUUUGAUUUCCAGAAAGUCUACUUUUUUAUGAUUUUGCUCAUCUAAAUAGUAGACAUUUCUCAUGAAAAGAGUAGUUGUGUCUUAUGUUAAAUGUAGACUUUGCAACUUUCACUUUCAAUUAUUGAUUCAAUCUCAAUAACAAUUUUAAUUUCCAAAAAGUCUACUUUUCUUUUAUUUCGCUUAUGUUAAUGGUAGACAUUUUUAACGAAAAUAAUAGGUUUGUCUUAUGUUAAAUGUAGACUUUGUAAUUUUUGUCUUCGGUUGAUUCAAUCUCAAGAACAAUUUUGAUUUUCAGAAAGUGUACUUUUCUUUGAUUUCUCUUAUGUUAAUGGUAGACAUUUCUAAUGAAAAUAGUAGAUGUGUCUUAUGUUAAAUGUAGCAUUUGCAACUUUUACCUUGGGUUGAUUUAAUCUCAAGAACAAUGUUGAUUUCCAGAAAGUCUAUUUUUCUUUGAUUUCGCUUAUGUUAAUGGUAGACAUUUGUAAUGAAAACAGUAGAUGUGUGUUAUGUUAAGUGUAGACUUUCCAUCUUUUACCUUGGGUUGAUUCAAUCUCAAGAACAAUUUUGAUUUCCAGAAAGUUUACUUUUCUUUGAUUUCUCUUAUAUUAAUGGUAGACAUUUAUUAUGAAAAUAGUAGAUGUGCCUUAUGCUAAAUGUAGACUUUGCAACUUUUACCUUGGGUUGAUUCAUUCUGAAAAACAAUUUUGAUUUCCACAAAGUCUACUUUUCUUUAUUUUGCUUAUGUUAGAAAAUAGUAGACGUGUCUUAUGUUAAAUGUGGACUUUGCAACUUUUACCUUCGGUUGAUUCAAUCUCAAGAACAAGGGUGCCCAAGAACAAUUUCGAUUUCCAGAAAGUAUACUUUUUUUUAAUUUCUGUUAUGUUAAUGGCAGACAUUUAUAAUGAAAAUAGUAGAUGUGUCUUAUGUUAAAUGUAGACUUUGCAACUUUUACCUUCGGUUGAUUCAAUCUCAAGAACAAUUUUGAUUUCCAGAAAGUCUACUUUUUCUUUGAUUUCUUUUAUGUUAAUGGUAGACAUUUCUAAUGAAAAUAGUAGAUGCGUCUUGUGUUAAAUGUAGAUUUUGCAUCUUUUACCUUGGGUUGUUUCAAUCUCAAGAACAAUUUUGAUUUCCAGAAAGUCUACUUUUCUUUGAUUUCGCUUAUGUUAAUGGUAGAGAUUUGUAAUGAAAAUAGUAGAUGUGUCUUAUGUUAAAUGUAGAGUUGCAAAUUUUACAUUGGGUUGAUUCAAUCUCAAGAACAAUUUUGAUUUCUAGAAAGUCUAGUUUUCUAUUGAAAACAGUAGAUGUGUCUUAUGUUAAAUGUAUCUUUCUACUUGCAACAUUUUCUGUGAUAUUUUUCAUGACAAUAGUAGGUGUUUCUUAUGAUAGUUGUAGACAGUCUCAAAAAUCAUUUUGAUUUCCAGAAAGUCUACUUUUGUGUGAUUUUGCUCAUCUGAAUGGU